UACGUAGGGGGCUAGCGUUGUCCGGAAUCAUUGGGCGUAAAGAGCGUGUAGGCGGCCUGGUAAGUCCGCUGUGAAAGUCGGGGGCUCAACCCUCGAAUGCCGGUGGAUACUGUCGGGCUAGAGUGCGGAAGAGGCGAGUGGAAUUCCUGGUGUAGCGGUGGAAUGCGCAGAUAUCAGGAGGAACACCAACGGCGAAGGCAGCUCGCUGGGACGGUACUGACACUAAGGCGCGAAAGCGUGGGGAGCGAACAGG
rnacentral:rRNA from 1 species